AAAAGUUAUGAGCACGAGCUCUAGCAGUGGGCUCUCGAAUGAGCUAGAUCUACAUUUACUAUCAUCAACAUCUCUUACAACUAGACAUGUGUGCAGUAUUAUUUGUGACACUCUUGAUCUUAAACCAACAGUAUGUGAUAUAUCUUCUUUAAUGAAGAGAAUGAAAAAUCUUGGAAAAGAUUUGACAUUUGUUUGUAGACUUGCAUAUUGUUCUGUAGUCUGUAAAUUCCCUUUGAAUGAUGUUGAGCUCUCAUUAGAGCUUCUCCAUUUAAUAAUACCCAGCCAAUCAAAAGCUGAUUCAUAUAACUUAAUUGAAUGUACAUAUAAUUCUGCAUCAAGUAUAACUAGUCACAAUUUUGUUAAUACUAUGGUCCAAAAUUAUUUUGCUGCUCUCUACCUUACGUUUCAACCUCUAAUGCAUGUAUUCACAUUUACGAGCACUCUGCAAUCACUUGAUCAAUCUCAAUGGAAAGUUUUGGAGUUUUAUUUUGGUCUUGUGGGCUCUGGAUUGUUGUCUGUGGCAAAAGACAAUCUAUUUUAUAUACUUAGUUAUAUUAGCCAGAGCUUCAACUGUAAUUUUCCUUUUGUUGAUAACCACUUGGUUUUAUUGAUGUUGAGAUGUCUUCAUGAAGCUGAGGAUGAUUCCUUAUCUCUUCAGGCACAUUAUGAAAUUUUGAAGUCACAAACUUUUUCCUAUAAUAUCAAUGAAAUACAUGAUAGUCUUCCUGCCAUUGCAUAUUAUUUAACCAGUCAUAAUGAAGCCGCCUGGAAAAUAUAUUGUACACAUGGAAAUAAAGGAGUCGAUCAACUGACGAGACUGAUAAAAGCAUUUGAGAGGGACAAGCACAGGAAAAAAGGAUGUGUUGUAGUUGAAGACAAAGAACAGUUAACUACUGAUCCUAACAGAAUUAUUAUCACGCUCCGUAGCAAGGAAUAUGUUAAAACUGAGGUCAAUGUCAUUGGAAAAGAUAAAGAAGAAGAAAUGAGUUUAGAAAAAUCAGCAACUGUUGUUGGUUCUACUACACUGCAACAAUCAAAUAUUAAGGCAUUUGAUCCUUUGUAUAUUCCACUACUUUCAUAUGGCCACCUAUCAACAGACCAAUACAUAAAAAGGAAGAAAAUAAAAGUUACAAUAUUUUUCAAUUUGUUGAAGGAUUUACUGCUAUCUCACCUCCAAGUGUAUUCUUCUGAGCUUAUUAAGUCUCAAUACAGAAAAGAUGAUCAUAACUGGUUUCUGCUUCCUCUUAAUAUGAGGCAUGACUUUUAUGAAGCAGUUUUAAUAAAUCCUAUAAUUCCUUUACAUUGGGCUAAAGUGCAACAGCCAAAUGGGUCUAUGGAACUAGAAGAUAAGUAUAGGUCUCUCUCUAGUCAACGUUAUCAGUCACCAACUGCUGUCAGUGCUCAAAAUGCUGCAGCUGAAUUAGUAAUAUUGAACUCAUCUCAAGUCCUGCGGUUAUUAAUAACUCCUCCCACAGGAGAAGACCCAGCAUUGAUACCUCUGUAUAUUAAUUCAGAUGACUGCUCAGAACUUGGCAUUAUUGGCUGUGACUUUUUAUUAGAGGAACAUUUUGUAUCACAAGAGAUUCGUUGGAAACCGACAAAACCUUUUCAAAUUAAUAAAGAUGAACAGGUUGUACGUGAGUUACCUCUACCUUCCAAUAGGGAUUCAGAACCUAAAGAGACGAGUGCCGCUGUUUCAUCUAAAAAAGAGCUUCCUUUUAUUUUAAAAGAUAAUGAAAAUCUGACUCCCAUGUCAAAAGCAGAAUACACCUCACAACAUGUCUCAAGUGAGAAAAUAAAGCAUCACACUUUAGCUGGGCAUGAUACUCCAGGAUAUUGUAUAUAUAGUGAAGGUAAAAGUUUCAUCAUGGGUGAAGUAUAUACAGUACCAACUGAACUGCCACACACUCGUGUAAUAAGAGAAGGAGGCAAUGGACUAAUACUUGAGGUGACAUUUGAAGGGGCUACUUAUGCUGUUAAAAAAACAGCAUUGAGAUGGAGAGAGAUUCUCAUUAUGCCUAAACUACAUCAUCCUAACGUAUUAAAUCUAAUUUCUAUGAUGAUUGGAUAUCCUAUUGAUUUGUUUCCAAGACAACGACAUGUUUUUCACUUUUAUUCAAGAAUGACAAAUGACCUUGGUAGAAGUGUUGGCUCAUAUGAGAGAUUCUGCCUAAGAAGCUUGAAUGAGAGAUACAAGAAUGAGCCUUUACUACUUAAAAAAAUUGACAACAAUUUCAAACAUCUCUUUAGUUCAAUACUUAAAGCACUUGAUUAUUUACAUACUCUACCAAAUCCAGUUAUUCAUAGAGAUGUAAAGCCAUCUAAUGUUCUCAUUAAAAUGUCCUGUGGCUGUCAGAAUCCACUCAUUUGUGUUUGCGUUACAAAGCCUCAAAUUAUGUUGUCUGAUUUUGAUGCUUCACUUGAACUCAAUUCUGAUAAUUCCAUGAAACCUGAUCCACCAAAAAACUCAUUGAGAGAUUUCCACCUUUCAGCUGAUAGAACGUAUCAUGUUUCACCAGUUGGUACUAUUGGAUUUAAAUCUCCAGAAGGAUUUAUGUACAUGAUAACCAAUGAUGCAUCACUACUUGGAGAUAUGACAACAAAAACUGAUAUUUUUAGUUUUGGUAUGUUGGUUUGUUUGGUUUUAUUAAAUGAAGAAGGACCAAAGUUCCUCAAUCAAAUUGGGACACUUUUACUAUCAGCUCAACAAUCAAAGCACAUUGCCGUAAAUCAACUUGAUGAAAUGAAAAGAAAGAUAUUGCAGAAAAAUGGAGUAAUGUACUUCAGGGAAAGAGAGCCACGAGUAACUGAUAAAGACAUAUUUAAAAUACUACCUAUUGUUCGUCUGAAACAGUUUUUUUCAGAAGUAAAUCCAAAUCUUGUAAAUUUUGUUGAGAUGACGCUAGCAGUUGAACCAAAAGACAGAGCAAGUGCUAAUGCACUUUUACACCAUUUGUACAUUAUUAGUACUACUGCUUCUGGUGUGGGCAAAAGUAUAUUAUAGGUUUUACUGAUGAGAAAAAUAUGAAUCAAUUGUGAAACGUGAGCAAUAAACCUAAUGCUAAUUAGGUGCAUAUGAUAAAAGGAAGUUACGCUCAAGAGGCACUGGGACAUAAUAUGUUAUACAAGUGUAUAAUGGCUUCCUACUAAUGCUAAUAAGCAUCAUUCAUAAUGCUAGAAGGAAAAGCUAGUUCCAGUGAAAUUGUUUGUACAAGAAUUAAACCACUGGUGAAGAACAAAAUUUAGCAUCAUAUUUUUGUUAUUGUUUAAAAAAUUUAAAACAAUUUCUUCUAUUGAAAGUUGUAA
rnacentral:misc_RNA from 1 species